rnacentral:rRNA from 1 species
UCUGGUUGGUCCUGCCAGUAGUCAUAUGCUUGUCUUAAAGAUUAAUCCAUGCAUGUGUAAGUAUAAAUAUUGUACAGCGAAACUGCGAAUGGCUCAUUACAUCAGUUAUAAUCUAUUUGAUAAUCGAAAGUUACAUGGAUAACCGUGACAAAUUACAGCUAAUACAUGCAGUCAGACCUGGUCCAAGGGUCGUAAUUAUUAGUAUUAAACCAUUUCCGCAAGGAGUGUGAUGAUUUAUAGUAAUCGAACGAAUCGCCUGGUGUGCGAUAAAUCAUUCAAGUUUCUGCCCUAUCAGCUUUGGAUGGUAGUGUAUUGGACUACCAUGGCAGUCACGGGUAACGGAGAAUUAGGGUUCGAUUCCGGAGAGGGAGCCUGAGAAACGGCUACCACAUCUACGGAAGGCAGCAGGAGCGAAAAUUGCCCAAUCCCGACACGGGGAGGCAGUGACGAGAAAUAACAACUCUUGGUUAUUCUAAGAAGUGUAAUGAGGAUAAUUUAAAACCCUACCGAAAGCAAUUGGAGGGCAAGUCUGGUGCCAGCAGCCGCGGUAAUUCCAGCUCCAAUAGCGUAUAUUAAAGUUGUUGCAGUUAAAAAGCUCGUAGUUGAAGUUCUGGCUGCUCGGUCCUCGAGCUUCGUAGCCGGGGAAUCGACAGUCAUCCGCUUGCAAAUAUAUGUUCGCCCUUAACCGGGCGGCUAUAUGAGCAAGCAUUUUACCUUGAGAAAAACAGAGUGUUCCAGGCAGGUUUGUCCGGAAUGCAUUAGCAUGGAAUAAUAGAAUAUGACUGAAGUCGAUUUAUUGGUUUGAGGCUUUAGUAAUGAUUAAUAGGAAUAGUCGGGGGCAUUGGUACUUGUCAGUCAGAGGUGAAAUUCUAGGAUUUGACAAAGACUAACAAAUGCGAAAGCAUUUGCCAAGGAUGUUUUCAUUAAUCAAGAACGAAAGUUAGGGGAUCAAAGACGAUCAGAUACCGUCCUAGUCUUAACUAUAAACUAUACCGACUCGGAUUCAGAUGAAUCAUAAAGUUCAUUUGGGACCGUAGGAGAAAUCAAAGUUUUUGGGUUCUGGGGGAAGUAUGGUCGCAAGGCUGAAACUUAAAGGAAUUGACGGUUUUGCACCACCAUGGAGUGGAGUCUGCGGCUUAAUUUGACCCAACACUGGGAAACUCAUCAGGGCAAGAAGAUUGUAGGAUUGACAGAUUGAGAGUUCUUUCUUGAUUGGUCUAGUGGUGGUGCAUGGCCGAUCUUAGUUGGUGGAGUGAUUUGUCUGGUUAAUUCCGUUAACGAACGAGACCUUAACCUGCUAACUAGUACACCGAUGACUAAUCGGCGUUACUUCUUAGAGGGACUAUGUGAUGUAAUCACAUGGAAGUUUGAGGCAAUAACAGGUCUGUGAUGCCCUUAGAUGUCCUGAGCUGCACGCGUACUACAAUGGUGCUUUCAACGAGCUUUUCCUGAUCCGAAAGGAUUUGGGUAAUCUUUUUAGUGAGCACCGUGUUUGGGAUAGAUCUUUGUAAUUAUGGAUCUUGAACU